UGAACAGCAGAUAAUUAACAAUUAAUGGCCCAUUAACAGCAGAUAUCUCCUGGAGGGAGGAUUGGGUGUGGGAGAGAUCAAGAAACUGCCCCAUGAACAGAGAUAGCUGCCCCAGCUCUGACAGAUGGGGACAGAACACACACCCCAGCCACAUCUUGCAUUUCCAACCAAGACAAGGAGUCAAAAUCCACUUGUCUUCCAGGAGGUCACGCCAGCAUUGCAGUAAAACUCAUUUUAAAGCCUGUUAAGUUCACCACAUGAAAGUGGUUUCCAAGCAGAUUUCCCAAUUAAAUCCCUGCCUGCUCUAAGUGGCUCCAGCUCUACCUGCUGCCUUUUGGAACUGAGCAUCUCCUCCUCCAGUGUGUGCCCUGUGUUGGGGAAGGAGGAACAGCUUGAUAAUAAUAUUCUGCAUUUUGAAAUAAUGACUUAAUUUGGUGCUUUCCCUCGCCGGCAGGAAAUGAAUUUAAAAGAGACGCAGCCACCCGUGAAGAGCUGUUGAAAGCAACGAUUGAUGGGAGGGAGGAGGUGGUUUCUCACCAAAACCUUAGAAAAACAAACAAACUGGGCAUAAAAAAUAAAAAAUAAUCACUUUUAAAACA